AUCCAGCUGACGAGUCCCAAAUAGGACAAAACGCGCAUCCUUGAU
rnacentral:hammerhead_ribozyme from 1 species